UUAAGCGACUAAGCGUACACGGUGGAUGCCCUGGCAGUCAGAGGCGAUGAAGGACGUGCUAAUCUGCGAAAAGCGUCGGUAAGGUGAUAUGAACCGUUAUAACCGGCGAUACCCGAAUGGGGAAACCCAGUGUGUUUCGACACACUAUCAUGUCAUGAAUACAUAGUGGCAUGAGGCGAACCGGGGGAACUGAAACAUCUAAGUACCCCGAGGAAAAGAAAUCAACCGAGAUUCCCCCAGUAGCGGCGAGCGAACGGGGAGGAGCCCAGAGCCUGAAUCAGUGUGUGUGUUAGUGGAAGCGUCUGGAAAGGCGUGCGAUACAGGGUGACAGCCCCGUACACAAAAAUGCACAUAUUGUGAGCUCGAUGAGUAGGGCGGGACACGUGGUAUCCUGUCUGAAUAUGGGGGGACCAUCCUCCAAGGCUAAAUACUCCUGACUGACCGAUAGUGAACCAGUACCGUGAGGGAAAGGCGAAAAGAACCCCGGCGAGGGGAGUGAAAAAGAACCUGAAACCGUGUACGUACAAGCAGUGGGAGCCUCUUAAUGGGGUGACUGCGUACCUUUUGUAUAAUGGGUCAGCGACUUAUAUUCUGUAGCAAGGUUAACCGAAUAGGGGAGCCGAAGGGAAACCGAGUCUUAACUGGGCGUUAAGUUGCAGGGUAUAGACCCGAAACCCGGUGAUCUAGCCAUGGGCAGGUUGAAGGUUGGGUAACACUAACUGGAGGACCGAACCGACUAAUGUUGAAAAAUUAGCGGAUGACUUGUGGCUGGGGGUGAAAGGCCAAUCAAACCGGGAGAUAGCUGGUUCUCCCCGAAAGCUAUUUAGGUAGCGCCUCGUGAAUUCAUCUCCGGGGGUAGAGCACUGUUUCGGCAAGGGGGUCAUCCCGACUUACCAACCCGAUGCAAACUGCGAAUACCGGAGAAUGUUAUCACGGGAGACACACGGCGGGUGCUAACGUCCGUCGUGAAGAGGGAAACAACCCAGACCGCCAGCUAAGGUCCCAAAGUCAUGGUUAAGUGGGAAACGAUGUGGGAAGGCCCAGACAGCCAGGAUGUUGGCUUAGAAGCAGCCAUCAUUUAAAGAAAGCGUAAUAGCUCACUGGUCGAGUCGGCCUGCGCGGAAGAUGUAACGGGGCUAAACCAUGCACCGAAGCUGCGGCAGCGACACUAUGUGUUGUUGGGUAGGGGAGCGUUCUGUAAGCCUGUGAAGGUGGCCUGUGAGGGUUGCUGGAGGUAUCAGAAGUGCGAAUGCUGACAUAAGUAACGAUAAAGCGGGUGAAAAGCCCGCUCGCCGGAAGACCAAGGGUUCCUGUCCAACGUUAAUCGGGGCAGGGUGAGUCGACCCCUAAGGCGAGGCCGAAAGGCGUAGUCGAUGGGAAACAGGUUAAUAUUCCUGUACUUGGUGUUACUGCGAAGGGGGGACGGAGAAGGCUAUGUUGGCCGGGCGACGGUUGUCCCGGUUUAAGCGUGUAGGCUGGUUUUCCAGGCAAAUCCGGAAAACCAAGGCUGAGGCGUGAUGACGAGGCACUACGGUGCUGAAGCAACAAAUGCCCUGCUUCCAGGAAAAGCCUCUAAGCAUCAGGUAACAUCAAAUCGUACCCCAAACCGACACAGGUGGUCAGGUAGAGAAUACCAAGGCGCUUGAGAGAACUCGGGUGAAGGAACUAGGCAAAAUGGUGCCGUAACUUCGGGAGAAGGCACGCUGAUAUGUAGGUGAAGCGACUUGCUCGUGGAGCUGAAAUCAGUCGAAGAUACCAGCUGGCUGCAACUGUUUAUUAAAAACACAGCACUGUGCAAACACGAAAGUGGACGUAUACGGUGUGACGCCUGCCCGGUGCCGGAAGGUUAAUUGAUGGGGUUAGCGGUAACGCGAAGCUCUUGAUCGAAGCCCCGGUAAACGGCGGCCGUAACUAUAACGGUCCUAAGGUAGCGAAAUUCCUUGUCGGGU
rnacentral:rRNA from 1 species